UCGGGAAUUUUGGGCAAUGGGCGAAAGCCUGACCCAGCAACGCCGCGUGAAGGAUGAAGUAUUUCGGUAUGUAAACUUCGAAAGAAUAGGAAGAAUAAAUGACGGUACUAUUUAUAAGGUCCGGCUAACUACGUGCCAGCAGCCGCGGUAAUACGUAGGGACCAAGCGUUGUUCGGAUUUACUGGGCGUAAAGGGCGCGUAGGCGGCAUGACAAGUCACUUGUGAAAUCUCUGGGCUUAACCCAGAACGGCCAAGUGAUACUGUCGCGCUAGAGUGCAGAAGGGGCAAUCGGAAUUCUUGGUGUAGCGGUGAAAUGCGUAGAUAUCAAGGGGAACACCUGAGGUGAAGACGGGUUGCUGGGCUGACACUGACGCUGAGGCGCGAAAGCCAGGGGAGCAAACGGGAUUAGAUACCCCCGUAGUCCCUGAGCGGGCUGGCAAGGCGCAU
rnacentral:rRNA from 1 species